rnacentral:rRNA from 1 species
UGCGCAAAGCUCGUAGUUGGAUUUGUGGCUGUCACGGGCGGCCUAUCACUUAGUGUUAGUGCUUGCCUGUGUCGCCAUCCUUGGGUGGAGCCCGUGUGGCAUUAGGUUGUCGUGCGGGGGAUGCCCAUCGUUUACUGUGAGAAAAUUAGAGUGUUCAAAGCAGGCUUAUGCCGUUGAAUAUGUUAGCAUGGAAUAAUAAGAUAGGACCUCGGUACUAUUUUGUUGGUUUGCGCACCGAGGUAAUGAUUAAUAGGGACAGUUGGGGGUAUUCGUAUUCCAUUGUCAGAGGUGAAAUUCUUGGAUUUCUGGAAGACGAACUACUGCGAAAGCAUUUACCAAGGAUGUUUUCAUUAAUCAAGAACGAAAGUUAGGGGAUCGAAGAUGAUUAGAUACAUUCGGUAGUCA